UUACGGUCAAAUCACGCUGAAACACCGGUUCGAUCACCGAAGUUAAGCAUCGUAGAGCCAGCUCAGUACUUAGAUGGGGGACCGCUUGGGAACACCUGGUACUGUAAG